GACGAACGCUGGCGGCGUGCCUAAUACAUGCAAGUAGAACGCUGAAGCGAGGAGCUUGCUCUUCUUGGAUGAGUUGCGAACGGGUGAGUAACGCGUAGGUAACCUGCCUUGUAGCGGGGGAUAACUAUUGGAAACGAUAGCUAAUACCGCAUAACAAUGGAUGACACAUGUCAUUUAUUUGAAAGGGGCAAUUGCUCCACUACAAGAUGGACCUGCGUUGUAUUAGCUAGUAGGUGAGGUAAUGGCUCACCUAGGCGACGAUACAUAGCCGACCUGAGAGGGUGAUCGGCCACACUGGGACUGAGACACGGCCCAGACUCCUACGGGAGGCAGCAGGAGGGAAUCUUCGGCAAUGGGGGCAACCCUGACCGAGCAACGCCGCGUGAGUGAAGAAGGUUUUCGGAUCGUAAAGCUCUGUUGUAAGUCAAGAACGGGUGUGAGAGUGGAAAGUUCACACUGUGACGGUAGCUUACCAGAAAGGGACGGCUAACUACGUG
rnacentral:rRNA from 1 species